rnacentral:rRNA from 1 species
UGAGGAAUCUUCCACAAUGGGGGCAACCCUGAUGGAGCGACACCGCGUGAAGGAUGAAUGCCUAACGGUUGUAAACUUCUUUUCUGAGGGAGCAAAAUGAGAGUACCUUAGGAAUAAGGGACGGCUAAAUACGUGCCAGCAGCCGCGGUAAUACGUAUGUCCCGAGCAUUACCCGGAAUUACUGGGUGUAAAGGGUUCGUAGGUUGUUAAACAAGUUGGAUAUAAAAGACCGAAGCUUAACUUCGAGUAUGUGUUCAAAACUGUGUAACUGGAAUUAGGGAGAGGUAAGCGGAAUUCUGAGUGUAGGGGUGCAAUCCGUAGAUACUCAGAGGAACACCAAAAGCGAAGGCAGCUUACUGGAACUAUAUUGACACUGAAGAACGAAAGCAUGGGGAGCGAA